rnacentral:rRNA from 1 species
AUUGAACGCUGGCGGCAGGCCUAACAAAUGCAAGUCGAACGAGUGGCGGACGGGUGAGUAAUGACUGGCAAACUGCCUGAUGGUGGGGGAUAAAUACUGGAAACGGUAGCUAAUACCGCCUACCAUCGGAUGUGCCCAGAUGGGAUUAGCUAGUAGGUGGGGUAAAGGCUCACCUAGGCGACGAUCCCUAGCUGGUCUGAGAGGAUGCCAGGCGACACUGGAACGGAAACACGGUCCAGACUCCUACGCGAGGCAGCAGUGGGGAAUAUUGGACAUGGGGCGCAAGCAUGAUGCAGCCAGGCCGCGUGUAUGAAGAAGGCCCGCGGGUUGUAAAGUACUUUCAGCGGGGAGGCGGUACCCGCAGAAGAAGCACCGGCUAACUCCGUGCCAGCAGCCGCGGUAAUAC